CCCCCCCCCCCCCCCCCCCAAACACUCCCAUACUUAGUAUUAAUUACCACCUUCCAUAAUGCUUCCUUCUCAUAAUUAUAUCUCCACAACCAUUUUCCUAAAUGAGUCUUGUUGAAGACCCUCAAAUUGCCAACUCCCAAUCCGCCACCCCUCAUUGGAGAGCACACCUUGUCCCAACCAACUAAAUGAAACUUGAACUCCUCGAUGACUCCACUCCACAAAAAAUCUCGUUGAAGUUUUUCAAUCCGUAAGGCAACACUAGCUGGGAGAGGAAAUAAUGAUAAGAAAUAUAUGAGGAGGUUUGAAAGUGUGUUCUUUAUUAAGGUAAUCUGACCCCCUUUAGCCAAAUUCAACCUUUUCCUCCCAGCUAGCCUUCGCUCUAUCUUCUCUAUCACCUCGUCCCAAAUAAUCUUGGCUUUGAAUGAUGUUCCCAGUGGGAGGCCAAGAUACUUCACAGGCAACGAAGAAACCACACAACCCAAUAGGCUGGCCAAAUCCCUUACGUUGCGAAUGUUACCCACAGCAACCAACUCAGAUUUAGAAAGAUUUACUUUUAAAUCGGAGAUUGCUUCAGAGCAAAGCAAGAUAGCCCUCAAAGAUUGGAUAUCACCUUCGUGUUCCUCACAAAAUAAUAGUGUAUCAUCUACAAACAAAAGAUGCGAAAUAGUGGUAGAGCCAUGGUUAGUAUCCCCCACCGAGUAACCUGAGAAAAAACCACCCGCAACUGAAGCCGACAACAUUAUGCUAAGAGCCUCCAUGACAAUAACAAAUAAGAGGGGUGAUAACGGAUCGCCUUUCGCAACCCCCGCGAACUGUUGAAGAAUCCCACGUGGUUACCAUUCACCAAAAUCGAGAAUCUAACCAUGGACAUACAAUGCCUCAUCCACAACCUCCAUCUCUCCCCAAAACUACAUCUCCUGAGCAAAUAAAAUAGGAAUUCCCAAUUAACAUGAUCAUAAGCCUUCUCCAUGUCUAAUUUACACAAAAUACCUGGAACUCCUGACUUAAUCUUGCUGUCCAAGCAUUCGUUAGUGAUAAGGACUGAAUUCAAUAUUUGUCUUCCCUUUACAAAUGCAUUUUGAGACUUAGAAAUGAUUCUAUCCAUGACUAAGCUCAUCUUAUUAGCAAGAAUUUUUGAAAUUAUCUUGUACAUACGGUUCAUGAGACUAAUAGGACAAAAAUCCUUCACCUCCAUUGCACCAACCUUUUUGGGAACAAGUUUUUUUUUUUGAUUGGCAUCGAUUAUCUAGGAACAGUGUCCUGACUAAUCCCGAAGGUGCACAGGCUCUCGGCAGGGUGUUUCAUGCACGUGCACCUCGGGUAAUUCAAGGAGGGGGAGGGGGACAAGUGCAAUGAAUGUAGAAUUCAAACUCUUCUUGAACUUCCCAAAAGUGAAAAAAUUAAUGAAAAACCUUCAUGACAUCCUCUUUCACCACAUCCCAACAAGUCUGAAAAAAUGCCAUAGUAAAACCAUCGGGGCCCAGAGCUUUGUCUCUGUUCAUUUUUCUAACUACUUGCUGUACUUCAAAAGGUCUCUCAAGCCAAACCAUACUGGUCUAAUCAAUUGCCUCAAAAGAUAGACCGUCUAAUCUAGGCCUCCAAUGAAAUGGUUCAGAAAGCAACUCUUUGAAAUGUCUAGCAAGGUGAUCCUUGGUCACUGAUUGGUCUGAGGAAACAAGGCCAUCUAUGGUCAGGGUCUCGAUAGCAUUGGUCCUCCUCCUAUGUGAGUUGGCUACCUGAUGAAAAAACUUUGUACAUUUAUCCCCCUCCCUUAGUCACAAGGCCCUUGACUUUUGCCUCCAAGAAAUCUCCUCCAUUAGAGUCACCCUUUCUAGUUCUGAGAUGACUUGGCUUUUGGGGGCGUUCUCCCUCAAAUGAAUACUCUCUACUUCUAUGUCCUCCAAACCUUGUAACUCUUGUAAUAAUGUCUUCUUCUGGAAUUUCACAUUGCCAAAUACCUGUUCAUCCCAAAACUUCAAGUCCUUCUUCGGAGCCUGCCAAAAUAAGGCUUGGAGUGCCCUGUAUCUGGUAUGAACUCCACCAUUAUCUAAUCAACUCCACAAACCCAUAAGCUUUUAACCACAUGUUCUUGAAUUUAAAGUACCUUUGUCCUCCUUGGACGCCUCCGCAAUCCAACAAUAUAGAAAAGUGAUCUGAACAUGUCCUGGGUAGUCUUUUUUGGCAUACAUCUGGAAAAUGCAUCUCCAUAAAGGGGGGAUAUAAGAAAUCUAUCCAAUCUAGACCAAGCAUGAUUGUUAGACCAUGUAAAGGAACUCUCAACAAAAGGAAUAUCCAUAAGAUUUUCCUAUCUAAGCUAGCUGGAUUUAAACAACUUAUUUCUCUAUCUAAGCAUCUUCCUUAAUUUUCCCCGGACCACAGGCUCAUACAUUGUGAUUCUAAUGAUUAGCAGGUAUCUGCUUUUAUAAGUUAAAGCUCAAAGCAUUACAAACAUAAAUUAAAUGCUGGAAACAUGUGAAUAGCCUUUGAUGUUUUGCUUCAUGUAUGCCCCUAAUUCCUUCACACUUGUACGGACAUGCAUAAACAGAUGUCUGCUGGAUACUUAAAUCACUCAUCCAUAGUAUUUCAUAUGCAUGCUGGAUACUUAAAUCAAUAAAGUUAAAAAAAAUAGCAUUCUCAUUCUCAAUCUUACUAUAGUAAAUCUCUUAUAUCUAUGUUCUUAAAAAAAAAAAAUUUCUAAUCAAACAUUUAUCCGAAAGCCACAGCAAUGCGAUGUCAAUAAACCAAUCCAAAGUCUAAAACCAAAAAAAUGAGCCUCAGAUCCACAGCAACAAAAGCAACGAUCAUACGCGGAUCUAAUCAAACUAACCUGGGAAAAAGAUAUUCAAAGACUUGUGAAGUCAUGAAAAAGGUGGAAGACAAAGGAAGAAACAGAUACGAGAAAACUCAAAAGAAAAACUAGAGAGAUCCGAAUGCCCUUUUCUGGAUUUAUAACAAAAACGAAAUAAGAAUUCUAUACGAAAACAUAUAAUAAACCGAAAGUCCAGCCUCCUAACAAACAGAGACAGUUGCAGAAAUGAAAAAAAACCACAAAUUUUCCGCACACAAACACAAGUUCAAACUGACAAAUCCGGUCAGUGCAAAAACAAGCUAAAAUCAGAGUUAAAAUAAACCCCAAGGCUGAGCCAAUACACACAAGGUACACCCCAAGGCCGAGCCAAUACAUGUACCCAUUAAUCAGUGUCAGAUCUCCAGACGACGGGAACCGAGGGGCAAAACCAGGAAAUGGAAGAGAGAAAGGAAGAGAAACGGAGAGAAAAGAUAAAGUCUCGUUGGGAA